GUAAGAGGCAAAAACUCCCCAUCAGUGUUUAAUCAGUCACCUCUUCAAAUCUCAUAAAGAUUUCUAUUAAUCAAGACUUAGAAACAACAGACUUUAUUGUUAAGAUGAUUAUUGGUUCACAGGUUUGUUUUAACCCACAGCAAGUGUGUAUUAAGGGAUUUGUCAUAAUAUUCCAACAAUAUCUUGAACUGAGGUGCAGAAAAUUGGCAGCAGGUGCUCUGGACUGAUGAGUCAAAGUUUGGAAUAUUUGGCUGUAACAGAAGGCAGUUUGUUAGUCGAAGGGCUGGAGAGCGAUACAAUAAUUAGUAUCUGCAGGCAACAGUGAAGCAUGGUGGAGGUUGCUUGAACAUUUAGGGCUGCAUUUCUGCAAAUGGAGUUGGAGAUUUGGUCAGGAUUAAUGGUGUUCUCAAUGCUGAGAAAUACAGGCAGAUACUUAUCCAUCAUGCAAUACCAUCAGGGAGGCGUAUGAUUGGCCCCAAAUUUAUUCUGCAGCAGGACAAUGACCCCAAACAUACAGCCAAAGUCAUUAAAAACUAUCUUCAGCGUAAAUAAGAACAGGAAGUACUGGAAGUCAUGGCAUGGCCCCCACAGAGCCCUGAUCUCAACAUCAUCGAGUGUGUUUGGGAUUACAUGAAGAGACAGAAGGAUAUGAGAAAGCCGACAUCCACAGAAGAUCUGUGGUUAGUUCUGCAAGAUGUUUGGAACAACCUACCAGCCGAGUUCAUUCAAAAACUGUGUGCAAGUGUACCUAGAAGAACUGCUGCUGUUAUGAAGGCAAAGGGCGGUCACAUCAAAUAUCGAUUUGAUUUAGAUUUCUCUUUUGUUCAUUCACUGCAUUUUGUUCAUUUAUGAAAAUAAAUGUUUAACACAUUAAUUUUUGAAAGCAUUCUUUUUUACAGCAUUUUUUCACACCUGCCUGAAACUUUUGCACAAUACUGUACAUAGGUUAAUUGCUAACUGCAUUUAGUUGUCUUGUACCCAUGUGCAAUGAUAAUAAAAUUUAAUCAAAUUUAACCUCAAGUUUGUGUACACAGCUGACACAGCCCUGGUGUCCUAUGUGCCAAAGAAAGGCAAGAAUGUGGUACUUAUGAGUACACUGCACAGGGAUGGUAGAAUCUGUGGCCAGGAGCAUCAAAAAACAGAGAUCAUUAUGGAUUAUAAUGCCACAAAAGGAGGGGUGGACAACAUCAAAGGUGGUGACUGCCUACAGCUGCAAAAGGAGGACCCUACACUGGCCACUGGUGAUAUUCUUUGACAUAUUGGACAUCUCAGCGUACAAUGCCUUUUUCAUCUGGAUGGCACUGAAUCCAGAGUGGAACAGAGGGAAGCUCCAGAGGAGACACCUGUUUCUGGAGGAACUGGGAAAGGCACUGGUGAGACGUCAAAUCCAGAGACGACAACAUGUUCCAAGAACCCCAGAAUCUGCGGCCAUCAUGCUGGAGAAUGGAGAAUGCUGGUGCCCCAUUCACCCGACCUACAGAACCACCAUCUGCAAAACCUGAAGUUGCGGCCAACAGAAAAAAGAAGUGCUGCGAAGUGUGUGGACCCAAGAUGGACAGAAAAAUACAACAUACAUGCACCAAGUGCAAGAAAUACAUAGUGCAACACACACACAGUAAAACUCUGCCCCUCAUGUGUUGUAUAGGCUGGUACUGUAUGAAAAGGAAAUGUGUUCAAUGGGGCUGAUGUGUCUAGACUGACAUGGUUACUGUAUGUGUUCAGCUUGUGUUGUGUUAACUGACCUGAAUGAGUUAAAUUUCAAAUAAAGUUCAAAUAAAUAAACAUCAAUAGUUUUGAAAAACUUUG